AAUCAACGCUGGCGGCGUGCCUCAGACAUGCAAGUCGAACGAUUAAAGCUCUCUUCGGAGAGUGCAUAGAGUGGCGCACGGGUGAGUAACACGUAAGUAAUCUACCCUCGAGUGGGGAAUAAACGUCCGGAAACGGACGCUAAUACCGCAUAAUGCAGCGGCACCGCAAGGUGACAGUUGUUAAAGAUUUAUCGCUUGAGGAGGAGCUUGCGGCAGAUUAGCUAGUUGGUAAGGUAAUGGCUUACCAAGGCUACGAUCUGUAACCGGUCUUAGAGGACCGGUCGGUCACACUGACACUGAAUAACGGGUCAGACUCCUACGGGAGGCAGCAGUCGGGAAUUUUGGGCAAUGGGCGAAAGCCUGACCCAGCAACGCCGCGUGAAGGAUGAAGUAUUUCGGUAUGUAAACUUCGAAAGAAUAGGAAGAAUAAAUGACGGUACUAUUUAUAAGGUCCGGCUAACUACGUG
rnacentral:rRNA from 1 species